GUUCAAGUGGAUUUUGGUUUAAGUGAUAUAUAACAUGCAUGAGAUUCUUCAUCUCAAGGUCGUGGGUUCAAGCCCCACGUUGGGCA